rnacentral:rRNA from 1 species
AGAGUUUGAUCAUGGCUCAGAUUGAACGCUGGCGGCAGGCUUAACACAUGCAAGUCGAACGGUAACAGAAAGUAGCUUGCUACUUUGCUGACGAGUGGCGGACGGGUGAGUAAUGCUUGGGAAUAUGCCUUAUGGUGGGGGACAACAGUUGGAAACGACUGCUAAUACCGCAUAACAUCUCCGGAUCAAAGUGGGGGACCUUCGGGCCUCACGCCAUAAGAGUAGCCCAAGUGGGAUUAGCUAGUUGGUAAGGUAAUGGCUUACCAAGGCGACGAUCCCUAGUUGGUCUUAGAGGAUGACCAGCCACACUGGAACUGAGACACGGUCCAGACUCCUACGGGAGGCAGCAGUGGGGAAUAUUGCACAAUGGGCGCAAGCCUGAUGCAGCCAUGCCGCGUGUGUGAAGAAGGCUUUCGGGUUGUAAAGCACUUUCAGCGAGGAGGAAAGGGUAUUGCUUAAUAGGUAAUAUCUGUGACGUUACUCGCAGAAGAAGCACCGGCUAACUCCGUGCCAGCAGCCGCGGUAAUACGGAGGGUGCGAGCGUUAAUCGGAAUUACUGGGCGUAAAGCGCGCGUAGGUGGUUAAUUAAGUCAGAUGUGAAAUCCCAGGGCUCAACCUUGGAACUGCAUUUGAAACUGGUUAACUAGAGUUUUGUAGAGGGUGGUAGAAUUUCAGGUGUAGCGGUGAAAUGCGUAGAGAUCUGAAGGAAUACCAGUGGCGAAGGCGGCCACCUGGACAAAGACUGACACUGAGGCGCGAAGGCGUGGGGAGCAAACGGGAUUAGAUACCCCGGUAGUCC